GACGAAACGCUGGCGGCGCGCCUAAACACAUGCAAGUCGAAACGGAGUUAUUCUGAAUGAAGUUUUUCGGAUGGAUUUUGGAUUAAACUUAGUGGCGAAACGGGUGAGUAAACGCGUGAGUAAACCUGCCCUGGAGUGGGGGACAACAGUUGGAAACGACUGCUAAAUACCGCAUAAAGCCCACGGUGCCGCAUGGCACAGCGGGAAAAAGGAUUUAUUCGCUUCAGGAUGGACUCGCGUCCAAUUAGCUAGUUGGUGAGGUAACGGCCCACCAA
rnacentral:rRNA from 1 species